rnacentral:rRNA from 1 species
AUGUUCUUUUGGCUCAUCGCUAGGAAAAGUAUUUUAACUAAGGACAAUCUACUCAAGAAAGGAUGGCGAGGGAGGCAGGAUUGUGUGUAAUGUGGACAGGAUGAGACCAUAGAUCAUCUAUUUUUCACUUGUUCUGCUGCUAGACUCCUUUGGAGCUUGGUAAAAUGUUCAUUUAAUCUGAAAACAACCCUGAAUGAAUAG